GUGGGGAAUCUUCCACAAUGGACGAAAGUCUGAUGGAGCAACGCCGCGUGAGUGAAGAAGGGUUUCGGCUCGUAAAGCUCUGUUGUCGGGGACGAAUGUGCAGUAUUUGAAUAAAGUAUUGCAAUGACGGUACCUGACGAGGAAGCCACGGCUAACUACGUGCCAGCAGCCGCGGUAAUACGUAGGUGGCAAGCGUUGUCCGGAAUUAUUGGGCGUAAAGGGAGCGCAGGCGGGAAGGUAAGUCGGUCUUAAAAGUGCGGGGCUCAACCCCGUGAUGGGAUCGAAACUAUCUUUCUUGAGUGCAGGAGAGGAAAGUGGAAUUCCUAGUGUAGCGGUGAAAUGCGUAGAUAUUAGGAGGAACACCAGUGGCGAAAGCGGCUUUCUGGACGACAACUGACGCUGAGGCGCGAAAGCCAGGGGAGCAAACGGGAUUAGAAACCCGGGUAGUCC
rnacentral:rRNA from 1 species